rnacentral:rRNA from 1 species
GACGAACGCUGGCGGCGUGCUUAACACAUGCAAGUCGAACGGAAAGGCCCUGCUUUUGUGGGGUGCUCGAGUGGCGAACGGGUGAGUAACACGUGAGUAACCUGCCCUUGACUUUGGGAUAACUUCAGGAAACUGGGGCUAAUACCGGAUAGGAGCUCCUGCUGCAUGGUGGGGGUUGGAAAGUUUCGGCGGUUGGGGAUGGACUCGCGGCUUAUCAGCUUGUUGGUGGGGUAGUGGCUUACCAAGGCUUUGACGGGUAGCCGGCCUGAGAGGGUGACCGGCGAGAUGAGGAUGGAGUGCCGGUCGAGACUGCAGCGGGGGGCAGUGGUGGAUAAUACGCGACGAGUGGGGGUAGCCCGCUGGCUGGGGGCGGCGGGGGGGAUGGCUGGGUGGGGGGGUGAAGCGUUUGGCGAGUGUGAGGAGGGGUGGGUGAGGGUAAGGUGGAAAGAAGCAGGGGGUAACGACGUGGAAGCAGGGUAAGAAUGGUGAGGAGACCCCUUGUGACC